rnacentral:rRNA from 1 species
UACGAGCUCUUGUACAGUGAAACUGCGAAUGGCUCAUUAAAUCAGUUAUGGUUCAUUUGAUUGUACGCUUUUACAUGGAUAACUGUGGCAAUUCUAGAGCUAAUACAUGCGUAAAGCGCUGACCUGACGGGAGGCGCGCAUUUAUCAGACCAAAACUAACCGGCUUUCGGGUCGUUACAAUGGUGACUCUGGAUAAGCUUGCGGAUCGCACGGCCUAGCGCUGGCGACAUCUCAUUAAAGCAACUGCCCUAUCAACUAUCGUCGGUACGGUAUCGGCCUACCGAGGUUGUAACGGGUGACGGAGAAUCAGGGUUCGAUUCCGGAGAGG